rnacentral:siRNA from 1 species
UAAGAAACGUAUUUAGGUGCGUU